rnacentral:rRNA from 1 species
GGACCCGCACAAGCGGUGGAGCAUGUGGUUUAAUUCGACGCAACGCGAAGAACCUUACCAGGGCUUGACAUCCCGCGCUAGGCUUGGAAACAAGCUGUUCUGGCCUUCGGGCCGGACGCGGAGACAGGUGGUGCAUGGUUGUCGUCAGCUCGUGUCGUGAGAUGUUGGGUUAAGUCCCGCAACGAGCGCAACCCCUACUUUUAGUUGCCAUCAUUCAGUUGGGCACUCUAAAGGAACUGCCGGUGACAAACCGGAGGAAGGUGGGGAUGACGUCAAAUCAUCAUGCCCUUUAUGUCCUGGGCUACACACGUGCUACAAUGGUCGGUACAAAGGGUUGCAAAGGAGCGAUCUGGAGCCAAUCCCAAAAAGCCGGUCUCAGUUCGGAUUGCAGGCUGCAACCCGCCUGCAUGAAGUCGGAAUCGCUAGUAAUCGCGAGUCAGCAUAUCGCGGUGAAUACGUUCCCGGGUCUU